rnacentral:rRNA from 1 species
UGGGGAAUAUUGGGCAAUGGGCGCAAGCCUGACCCAGCAACGCCGCGUGAAGGAAGAAGGCCCUCGGGUUGUAAACUUCUUUUCUAUGGGACGAAGAAGUGACGGUACUAUAGGAAUAAGCCACGGCUAACUACGUGCCAGCAGCCGCGGUAAUACGUAGGUGGCGAGCGUUAUCCGGAUUUACUGGGUGUAAAGGGCGUGUAGGCGGGAGAGCAAGUCAGAUGUGAAAACUACAGGCUUAACCUGUAGCCUGCAUUUGAAACUGUUUUUCUUGAGUGAUGGAGAGGCAGGCGGAAUUCCUAGUGUAGCGGUGAAAUGCGUAGAUAUUAGGAGGAACACCAGUGGCGAAGGCGGCCUGCUGGACAUUAACUGACGCUGAGGCGCGAAAGCGUGGGGAGCAAACAGGAUUAGAUACCC